rnacentral:rRNA from 1 species
UGGGGAAUUUUGGACAAUGGGGGAAACCCUGAUCCAGCCAUCCCGCGUGUGCGAUGAAGGCCUUCGGGUUGUAAAGCACUUUUGGCAGGAAAGAAACGUCAUGGGUUAAUACCCCGUGAAACUGACGGUACCUGCAGAAUAAGCACAGGCUAACUACGUGCCAGCAGCCGCGGUAAUACGUAGGGUGCAAGCGUUAAUCGGAAUUACUGGGCGUAAAGCGUGCGCAGGCGGUUCGGAAAGAAAGUUGUGAAAUCCCAGAGCUCAACUUUGGAACUGCAUUUUUAACUACCGGGCUAGAGUGUGUCAGAGGGAGGUGGAAUUCCGCGUGUAGCAGUGAAAUGCGUAGAUAUGCGGAGGAACACCGAUGGCGAAGGCAGCCUCCUGGGAUAACACUGACGCUCAUGCACGAAAGCGUGGGGAGCAAACAGG